rnacentral:lncRNA from 1 species
AAGUCUGUCCUUGCUGUGUCUGUGAAUUCCAUUUAACUAAGUACAGGCCAGAUGAGAUUGCUGUUUUCACGGUGGUGUAAUGCCUUGUGCCUCCUUUAUUUUAUUUUAUUUUUUUUAAACCAGGAAAAAUGCGUGUAGUGGUUCCUCACAAAGCUAUUAUAUUGCUUGGAUGGGAACUAUAUAGAAGGUGUGAAAGAGUGUCACUGGUGCAACUGGUGUAACAAUAUCAAUUACAAGAUUCACAAGACCAGCAGUGGCACGAGCCCUGUGUCACUUCACAUCCUUGGCAGAGAGAUGACUUUUAACACUCCAGGUCAAAUGAUGAACUGCCACAACAAAGGUGAAAGAGCAAAAGAAGGCUGUACGAAACGACUUGAAGAUUGAUGUUGCAUUAUUGGAACCUAGAGUAUUUCAGACGUAGCAUUGCAGUGACAUUAAAUAUUGCAGCUGUUGUUUCAUUCAACUUAUGCAUCAAUAUAUAACUGCAGUAUUUAUCUCAGAAAAUGGUACAGUAUUUUUGUUCUUCUCUCUUUCAUGAAGAUCUGGAUUGCUAAAUACUGCAUCACUAAAAAAUUUUAAAUCCCAGCAUAUAAAAUAUGUUUACCAUGCAGGAUCCUUUUAUUUAAUUUAUUACAAUGUUAAAAGCACCAGUAAUAAUGGCUAAUUAACUGACUUAUGCCUUAGAGAGCCUCGAACAUGAUACGGAAGUAAAGAUAAAUGUGCUAUAUGCCAUGUAGCUGUAACAUAUUCAAAGGAUCUCUUCAUCAGAGCCUUUUUUAAAAAGCCAGUAUUUUCAUUUUCUAAAACUUUUUAAAUUGUUGUUGUUUUGUUUUGUUUUGGUAGUGGAGACUAAUUUGAGGCACCUUUCUUAGAAUGGAACAAUGACAUUUUUAUAUAGUCCCUGAUAGUGCAAUGAUUUAUUUUCUUGAAAAGUGCCUAUACCUUGGUGUAACCUGGUGAGUCUCUGGAACUAAAGGUUUUGUUUCUUUGUUCGUUUUCCCUAUUUCUUUGUCUAUUUCAUAUAAGUGAUAAUCUCCUGAAAAAAUGGUAAAUGAGUAUAAAAUCGCAGCUUGAAACUAUGUGUAAAACAAACAAACAAAAAGCAACAACAACAACAAAAUACACAUAAUUUGUAUGGCUAACAUCAUCAAUUUUGAUUUUCCUGCCUCACAGAUGCAUAAAUCUCUUAGUAACUUCAUGGUCCUCAUCUGAAUUAGGGUACUCUGCCUGGUAUAAACAAGUUCACACCAGAUGUUGUUGCUGCUUCAUUAAAGAUGGUUUGCACACAUGGAUUUGUAGGAGAAAGACAGACCUGAGGUCACAGAUUGCGUAUUUCUUAAAUA